rnacentral:misc_RNA from 1 species
GAUGAGGAACGUAGCGAAAUGCGAUAAGUAAUGUGAAUUGCAGAAUUCAGUGAAUCAUCGAAUCUUUGAACGCACAUUGCGCCCGCCAGUAUUCUGGCGGGCAUGCCUGUUCGAGCGUCAUUACAACCCUCAGGCCCCCGGGCCUGGCGUUGGGGAUCGGCGGAAGCCCCCUGUGGGCACACGCCGUCCCUCAAAUACAGUGGCGGUCCCGCCGCAGCUUCCAUUGCGUAGUAGCUAACACCUCGCAACUGGAGAGCGGCGCGGCCAUGCCGUAAAACACCCAACUUCUGAAUGUUGACCUCGAAUCAGGUAGGAAUACCCGCUGAACUUAAGCAUAUCAAUAAGCGGAGGA